UUUCCUAUGGGGGUAGAGCACUGGAUGGGCUAGGGGGUCGCGAGACCUACCAAACCUAACCAAACUCCGAAUACCAUAGAGACAAGUCCGGGAGACAGACGGCGGGUGCUAAGGUCCGUCGUCAAAAGGGAAACAGCCCUAACCUACAGCUAAGGUCCCCAAGUCAUAUCUAAGUGGGAAAGCAUGUGGGAAUCCCAAAACAACCAGGAGGUUGGCUUAGAAGCAGCCAUCCUUUAAAGAAAGCGUAAUAGCUCACUAGUCGAGUCGGCCUGCGCGGAAGAUGUAACGGGGCUCAAACUGGUUACCGAAGCUGCGGCUGUGCACGCAAGUGCACGGGGUAGGGGAGCGUUCUGUAAGCCUGCGAAGGUGUGUCGAGAGGCAUGCUGGAGGUAUCAGAAGUGCGAAUGCUGACAUGAGUAACGACAAUGGGGGUGAAAAACCCCCACGCCGGAAGACCAAGGGUUCCUGCGCAACGCUAAUCGGCGCAGGGUGAGUCGGCCCCUAAGGCGAGACCGAAAGGUGUAGUCGAUGGGAAACGGAUUAAUAUUUCCGUACCUUGGAUAGCUGCGAUGGAGAGACGGAGAAGGCUAUGUCUACCGGGCGUCGGUUGUCCCGGGGAAAGACUGUAGGCUGAGGUGUUAGGUAAAUCCGGCACCUUGUUAAGGCUGAGGGUCGAGACGACCGGUCCUUUGGACUGGGAAGUGAUUGAUGCCAUGCUUCCAGGAAAAUCUUCUAAGCUUCAGGCUAUUCGAGACCGUACCCCAAACCGACACAGGUGGUCAGGUAGAGAAUACCAAGGCGCUUGAGAGAACUCGGGUAAAGGAACUAGGCAAAAUGGUGCCGUAACUUCGGGAGAAGGCACGCCGGUGGUAUGUGACGCCCUUCGCGGGUUGAGCAGAAGCCGGUCGAAGAUACCAGGCCCCUGCGACUGUUUAUUAAAAACACAGCACUCUGCAAACACGAAAGUGGACGUAUAGGGUGUGACGCCUGCCCGGUGCCGGAAGGUUAAUUGAUGGGGUUAGCGCUUGCGCGAAGCUCUUGAUCGAAGCCCCGGUAAACGGCGGCCGUAACAAUAACGGUCCUAAGGUA
rnacentral:rRNA from 12 species